GAAAUGCGAUAAUUAAUGUGAAUUGCAGAAUUCAGUGAAUCAUCGAGUCUUUGAACGCACAUUGCGCCCCCUGGUAUUCCGGGGGGCAUGCCUGUCCGAGCGUCAUUGCUGCCCUCAAGCACGGCUUGGGUGUUGGGCUUCCGUCCCUGGCAACGGGGACGGGCCCAAAAGGCAGUGGCGGCACCGUGUCUGGUCCUCGAGCGUAUGGGGCUUUGUCACCCGCUCCCGUAGGUCCAGCUGGCAGCUAGCCUCGCAACCAAUCUUUUUAACCAGGUUGACCUCGGAUCAGGUAGGGAUACCCGCUGAACUUAAGC
rnacentral:misc_RNA from 1 species